UACGGAGGGUGCUAGCGUUGUUCGGAAUCACUGGGCGUAAAGGGCGUGUAGGCGGCCUGUUAAGUCUGAUGUGAAAUCCCCUCGCUCAACGAGGGAACUGCGUCGGAUACUGGCAGACUCGAGUACCGGAGAGGAAGGUGGAAUUCCCGGUGUAGCGGUGAAAUGCGUAGAGAUCCGGAGGAACACCGACGGCGUAGGCAGCGCCCUGGACGACACCUGACGCUGAGGCACGAAAGCUGGGGGAGCGAACAGG
rnacentral:rRNA from 1 species